rnacentral:misc_RNA from 1 species
UCCGAGUUGACCCCGGCAGUCUCCCAUGAGUCCCCGGCAUUACCCGCUGGCAACAUGGAACGAGGGUUGCGCUCGUUGCGGGACUUAACCCAACAUCUCACGACACGAGCUGACGACAGCCAUGCAGCACCUGUGUGCAGGCCCCCGAAGGGAAGAAAGGCAUCUCUGCCAGUCGUCCGGGCAUGUCAAACGCUGGUAAGGUUCUGCGCGUUGCUUCGAAUUGAACCACAUGCUCCACCGCUUGUGCGGGCCCCCGUCAAUUCCUUUGAGUUUCAGCCUUGCGGCCGUACUCCCCAGGCGGGGCACUUAAUGCGUUAGCGCCGGCACCCAGGGGGUCGCUCCCCCAGGCACCUAGUGCCCAUCGUUUACGGCGUGGACUAC